AUUGAACGCUGGCGGCAUGCUUUACACAUGCAAGUCGAACGGCAGCGCGGGCUUCGGCCUGGCUGCGAGUGGCGAACGGGUGAGUAAUGCAUUGGAACGUGCCCAGUAGUGGGGGAUAGUCCGGCGAAAGCCGGAUUAAUACCGCAUACGAGCUGAGGGUGAAAGCGGGGGACCGAAAGGCCGCGCGCUAUUGUGGGGGCCGAUGUCGGGUUAGCUAGUUGGUGGGGUAAAGGGUUACCAAGGCGACGAUUCGUAGCUGGUCUGAGAGGACGGCCAGCCACACUGGGAGUGGGCCACGGCCCAGACUCCUACGGGAGGCAGCAGUGGGGAAUUUUGGACAAUGGGGGCAACCCUGAUCCAGCCAUGCCGCGUGCGGGAAGAAGGCCUUCGGGUUGUAAACCGCUUUUGUUCGGGAAGAAAUCCUCUGGGCUAAUACCCCGGGGGGAUGACGGUACCGGAAGAAUAAGCACCGGCUAACUACGUG
rnacentral:rRNA from 1 species